UACGUAGGGCGCAAGCGUUGUCCGGAAUUAUUGGGCGUAAAGGGCGCGUAGGCGGCCUUUCAAGUGACGGGUGAAAUCCCUCGGCUUAACCGAGGAACUGCCUGUCAGACUGGAAGGCUUGAGACCGGGAGAGGUGAGUGGAAUUCCCAGUGUAGCGGUGAAAUGCGUAGAUAUCAGGAGGAACACCGAUGGCGAAGGCAGGUCUCUGGGCACUUACUGACGCUGAGGAGCGAAAGCGUGGGGAGCGAACAGG
rnacentral:rRNA from 1 species